AAGUAUAACUAAUUGACUUUGAAACUGCGAAUGGCUCAUUAUAUCAGUUAUAGUUUAUUUGGUGAAGGAUACUAAUUGGAUAACCGUAGUAAUUCUAGGGCUAAUACAUGAGUAAAGUCCCGUUGGGAUGUGUUUAUUAGAAUGAAAACCAUAUGCUUCGGCAUGAUAGUGAGUAAUAGUAACCUAUCGUAUCGCAUGCUUAAAGUAGCGAUGAGUCUUUCAAGUUUCUGCCC
rnacentral:rRNA from 1 species